GUAACGGCCCAACAAGCCUGUAAUCGGUACGGGUUGUGGGAGCAAGAGCCCGGAGAUGGACUCUGAGACACGAGUCCAGGCCCUACGGGGCGCAGCAGGCGCGAAAACUUUACAAUGCAGGCAACUGUGAUAAGGGAACCCCGAGUGCCCGUAUACGCGGGCUGUUCGGAUGUCUAAAAAGCAUCCGGAGAAAGGGCCGGGCAAGACCGGUGCCAGCCGCCGCGGUAAUACCGGCGGCUCGAGUGGUGGCCGCUUUUAUUGGGCUUAA
rnacentral:rRNA from 1 species